rnacentral:rRNA from 1 species
AGAGUUUGAUCCUGGCUCAGAUUGAACGCUGGCGGCAUGCCUUACACAUGCAAGUCGAACGGCAGCACGGGAGCAAUCCUGGUGGCGAGUGGCGAACGGGUGAGUAAUAUAUCGGAACGUGCCCAAUCGUGGGGGAUAACGCAGCGAAAGCUGUGCUAAUACCGCAUACGAUCUACGGAUGAAAGCGGGGGAUUCGCAAGAACCUCGCGCGAAUGGAGCGGCCGAUAUCAGAUUAGCUAGUUGGUGGGGUAAAAGCUCACCAAGGCGACGAUCUGUAGCUGGUCUGAGAGGACGACCAGCCACACUGGAACUGAGACACGGUCCAGACUCCUACGGGAGGCAGCAGUGGGGAAUUUUGGACAAUGGGCGCAAGCCUGAUCCAGCAAUGCCGCGUGCAGGAUGAAGGCCUUCGGGUUGUAAACUGCUUUUGUACGGAACGAAACGGUCUUCUCUAAUAAAGAGGGCUAAUGACGGUACCGUAAGAAUAAGCACCGGCUAACUACGUGCCAGCAGCCGCGGUAAUACGUAGGGUGCGAGCGUUAAUCGGAAUUACUGGGCGUAAAGCGUGCGCAGGCGGUGAUGUAAGACAGAUGUGAAAUCCCCGGGCUCAACCUGGGACCUGCAUUUGUGACUGCAUCGCUAGAGUACGGUAGAGGGGGGAUGGAAUUCCGCGUGUAGCAGUGAAAUGCGUAGAUAUGCGGAGGAACACCGAUGGCGAAGGCAAUCCCCUGGACCUGUACUGACGCUCAUGCACGAAAGCGUGGGGAGCAAACAGGAUUAGAUACCCUGGUAGUCCACGC